rnacentral:rRNA from 1 species
UACGGGGGGAGCAAGCGUUGUUCGGAUUUACUGGGCGUAAAGGGCGCGUAGGCGGCCAGCGCAAGUCAGUUGUGAAAUCUCCGGGCUUAACUCGGAAAGGUCAACUGAUACUGCGCGGCUAGAGUGCAGAAGGGGCAACUGGAAUUCUCGGUGUAGCGGUGAAAUGCGUAGAUAUCGAGAGGAACACCUGCGGCGAAGGCGGGUUGCUGGGCUGACACUGACGCUGAGACACGAAGGCCAGGGGAGCAAACGGG